UACGUAGGGGCUAGCGUUGUCCGGAAUUAUUGGGCGUAAAGCGCGUGUAGGCGGUCCGAUAAGUCUUCUGUGAAAGUCAAAGAGCUCAACUCUUGAAAGCCGGUAGAUACUGUCGGGCUAGAGUACGGAAGAGGCGAGUGGAAUUCCCGGUGUAGAGGUGAAAUUCGUAGAUAUCGGGAGGAACACCAGCGGCGAAGGCGGCACUCUGGGCUGGUACUGACGCUGAGGAGCGAAAGCGUGGGUAGCAAACAGGA
rnacentral:rRNA from 1 species